rnacentral:rRNA from 1 species
AGCAGCCGCGGUAAUUCCAGCUCCAAUAGCGUAUAUUAAAGUUGUUGCAGUUAAAAAGCUCGUAGUUGAAUUUCGGGGUCAGUAGGUUGGUCAUGCCCAUGGUAUGCACUGGUCUCACUGAUUCCUCCUUCCUGAUGAACCGUAAUGCCAUUAAUUUGGUGUUGCGGGGAAUCUGGACUGUUACUUUGAAAAAAUUAGAGUGUUUAAAGCAGGCCAACGCCUGAAUACAUUAGCAUGGAAUAAUGAAAUAGGACGUUCGAUCCUAUUUUGUUGGUUUCUAGGAUUGACGUAAUGAUUAAUAGGGAUAGUUGGGGGCAUUAGUAUUCAAUUGUCAGAGGUGAAAUUCUUGGAUUUAUUGAAGACUAACUACUGCGAAAGCAUUUGCCAAGGAUGUUUUCAUUAAUCAAGAACGAAAGUUAGGGGAUCGAAGACGAUCAGAUACCGUCGUAG